rnacentral:rRNA from 1 species
UACGUAGGGACCAAGCGUUGUUCGGAUUUACUGGGCGUAAAGGGCGCGUAGGCGGCGCGGUAAGUCACUUGUGAAAUCUCUGAGCUUAACUCAGAACGGCCAAGUGAUACUGCAGUGCUAGAGUGUGGAAGGGGCAAUCGGAAUUCUUGGUGUAGCGGUGAAAUGCGUAGGAUAUCAAGAGGAACACCUGAGGUGAAGACGGGUUGCUGGGCCAACACGUGACGUGAGGCGCGAAAGCCAGGGGAGCAAACGGG